AUGGUGGCAAGUGCUGUCAAGCAGGGGCAGCAACCCCCCAAGCAGGCGUCGCGGGGGAUCCAACAGCAGCAAAUAGCCGAUGCGACAGUCCCAGCUCCAAUUCCUCCUCCUCCUGUUGUUAUAGUUCAAGCACUGGAUCCCAGGUACAAAGACAUGAUCUGCUUUAACUGUAGCUGGCCAGGGCAUUAUGUGGGGAACUGCAUUGAGCCGAAGAAAUGCUUUAUUUGCAUGGGAGGCCAUAACGUCAAUAACUGUGCUGCCUGGGCGAAACCACACCCUACAGCGACGUACUUUGGUAGUGUAGCAGCUGGUCUAGGUUUUUACCACAUUGAUGUUCCUACUGCAUCAGAACUGAACUGGCUCAACUACAAGAACUGUGCAGUUCUCAAAAUUGUGAAGGGUGAAGUUUCUGCCUCAGAGUUACUGAUUCAGCUCAAUGGGAAUUUUUUGUAA
rnacentral:rRNA from 1 species